GCUUAACUGACUGAGCAACCCAGUGCCCCAAAAGUUUUGUUUAAAACUAGGUAGGAACUUUUAAAUAAACCAAGAUUCUGUGGCAAAAGGUAAUUGGGCCCCUUCCUGGACUGCUUAUUUAAGUCUAUCAAGUGUUUUAUAAGAAAUGCUAUUUUUCCCCCCAGAAGGAGCAGCUGCUAAUCGUAUCAGGCCACCAGGUUCUGCUCAGCAACAUUCUUCUUAAGAAAUACCAAGGGGGGAAAAUGUGGUGGAGUGGAAAGGGGACUGGCCUGUGUCCCCAGGACUGCUACAUGCAUGUAGUUGAGAGACAUGGAUUUGAAUGCUGCCUUGAAUGCUUAUUACCAUUAUGACCUCAAACAAGUCAUUUAGCCUGUUGGAACCUCAACGUUUCAUCAACAAAAUGGGGAUAUUAGUAAGUUCCUUAGAUGCAUUGUAUGAUCUAAAUAACCCUAUUUAGAUCUAAAUAACCCUAUUUACCAAGAACAGUGCUUAGGAUAUAUCAGACACUCCGUACGUGUUAGUUCCCCUCUCUAAUGCAGUCCCCUCCCUCUUGCUGCCAUAUUCCUAAGCACUAGCCAGCAAUGCAACCUUAAAUCACGUUUCUUCUCUAGACCUCUAAAUGUCCUGAACUGUGCCAUUAAGUCACACUUUUCAUUUAUCUUUGCUCAGCCUCACCUUCCAUUCCCCUGAUAUCCCCACUAACCCUUUUCACUGAGAGCACUGAGAACUUCUCUUACCUCUUCCUUUGCUCUCACAUCUGGACUUACCUGCAUCCACCUCAGUCAUUUCUUCUGGUCUUGAGUGCCUUCCUCCCACUGAACACCAAUCAGUUCCUGUACUGGAUUCCAUCAUUUCUUGCCACCUCAUCUAUCGUUUGCUCUCUCAUCUGUAAUUGUGUUUGCUCUCUCUUGUUAUGGGCUUCUCCUACCCAAGACUCUUCUACUUCUAGAAAAAGUCCCUUCCUAGCUCCUUCAUCCUUCCUGUAGUUAUUUUUCUAUUUUCUCUCUCCCAGGUUUAGGAGGAAAAAAAUAUGUGUGUUAUUUCCAUAUCAUUCUUUGCUCAACCCACAGGUCUCUGUUAUUGUCACACUACUGAGACUACAAUAGUGAAGGACAUCUACUCUCUUUUUUCCUCUUGGGAUCAUCUCAUGUACCCUCAUGGUUUUUUACUGUCAUCUGUAUACUGAUGCUCUCUUCUCUCUCUGCCAUACUUCUUACCUGAGCUGUAGAACCCUACACUCAGUUGUGUGUUGGACAUCUCUACCUCAGUAUCCCACAGAUUCUACAACAUGUCCAUAAGUGAGCUGGAUUAAUCAUCUCUUUCCCCUCCUUCCCCCUGCUGUGGACACUCCCCUCCCAAUAAGCCUGCACUUUCUCCUAAAUUCCCUGACUUGGCUGGUGGAACGGCUAUCCGUCCCAUUAACCAAAUAUGAAACCUGGGUAAAUCCCUGACACAACUUCCUCCUUUCUCCACAUCCAGCCCAUGACAUCUGAGCAGAGGACUGAACGAGGAGGGGCCAGUCCUGUGAAGCUCUGGGAAGAUCUAAGGUAGGGAUGGCACUCUGCCUUUGCUCUCAUGGUAUUCUGCUCUGACCAGACUGGCCCAGAUUUGCCUGACUCCUGUAUGCAGUGAUGUUAAGAGGAUUAUUUAUACAGGAAAACUUUUUUAAAAAAAUUUUUAAUGUGUAUUUAUUUUUUAGAGGGGGGAGGGGCAGAGAGACAGAAUCCAAAGCAGGCUCCAGGCUCUGGAGUGUGAGUGGGGGAGGGGCAGCCUGCUUCAGAUGCUGUGAUUCUUCAGAUUCUCCCUGCUUGCUCGUGCUUGCACUCUCUCUCUCUCAAAAUAAAUAAAUAAACAUUUCAAAAAAUUUAUAUAAUUUUACAUUCCAUAUAGUUUGUUGUUAAAUAUGCCCUUCAGUAGAGAAUAUUCGGUUUUAUAUCUUGAUUUUUUAAGUUAGAAAACUUACAAUCUUAUAUAAUCUAUAUAACUAAAAAGAUUGACUUAUUUUUAUGAUCUGUAUUUGCACAGGUAUGUUAAUAGGUUAUACAAACACAGAAUUAAUCACUGGAAGCAAAAGCUUUCUGUUUAUCCCAGGCAAACAACUCUUUCCACCAGGAGGGAUAAACAUAAUUUUCUGCGUGGCUCCCUAGCUGCUUGCUGGCACUCGAUAUGAUGUUGAGUACUGUGGUCACAUGUGAACAUUGGGUUACAAGCACCCUGGCAGGAGAGCCUCUGUUACGUGUAUCUUUGUACCGCCCACAAUGCUAACCUAGUGGUGUCCUGAACAUAAGCCUCCAGUAGAUACUGGCUGAAUGACUCACUGUUGUCUCUCUGCAGAGGUCAGUUCCUCAGUUCAGUGACGCAGGUUGCAUUUCAGCUACUGGGGCUGCAAUAUCCAGGUGGGGGCUGUGGACUCCUGUAGCCUCUUAAUUCUCUUGAUCACCCACCGUUUACACAGUCGCCCUUUCAGAACCCUCCUGCCUUCUCCCCCACUGCUUUGGAUGGUGAUUGCUUCUCUUCUUCCCCUUACUCUGUAUCUCUCAGCAAUGAUUUAGGGCCAUUUUUACAGUCUGCUAAUUCCCUGAGAAUGAGGUGCCUCUUCUGGGAGAUACUGCCAUCCUCAAUGGCACUGCAGAUAGGUUUGUGUUGACUCAUCUCCAGGCUCUCCAAGUCAUUUUGCCCUUAGCCUGAUUACAAGGCACCAUCUGUUUGUCUCCAGGGCUUAAUGAAUCGAGGGCUCAUAAAUAUAGCUGAUAUCUAAAUUGAAUCCAAAUCACAGUGAAGAAAGGAUAAUAGUCUCCUUCGCCAGAGAUGGGUGGGCAAUUACUUUUAUAGCUUUGGAGAAAAAUGGAUUAUGUAGAUACUUCACUCAAAUUGGUGGCCCUGAGUCACUGUCCCUAUAUGCUGAUGCUUUUGCUCAGGGACAGUAACUUGCCUGCCCUGUUUCAGGAGAAAUAGAUUAUCUACCUGACCCAAGUUCACUCAGUGAAUCAGCAGUCAGAUUCUAGCCAUCAUAGUCCUUCUGCUACUUUGGCUUAUGAGGGUCAGAAGAAUUUUUCAAGCAUGAAGAAUAUUAAAAUAACCAUUAAAAAACUGACCUAGUAACCUUGGCCUGUUGCCUAAUGCAAUAUGGCUGAUGAGAGGGAAAUCCCUUGCAGUGAGAUGGCUGAGUGUUAAGUGCACUACAGGUUGUGAUUUUUCUAGAAAUUGCGGGGAGUGGGGGUGGUGGCUGUUAAACAGUUUUAAAAGAUCUAUUGCCACUUCUGGUGAAUUUGUUCUUACAGUCAGUGGGAUCUGGAAUCCUUGAGAUCCAUGGGCUACAGUGAGUGAGUUGUCUCUGGCCUCCCUCUUACCUGCAAGUAUUUUACACCAGAAGGAAGCAGAACCACAUGCAGCUACCCAAACAGCCUGUGCUACACCAACACAUGUGCUCACUGCCUACCAUUGCCAUACACUUGACAUAUCCACGUCUCUGAUCAUUAAAGCAGCUCUAUCAUGUAAAUAUUAUUAUCCCCAUUUUAUACGUGAGGAACCUGGGGAUCAACAUAAUUAAGUAAUUUUCAUGGGUUUCCAUUGAGGCAGAGGCAGGAUUUGAACCCAGUCCUGUUUAGCUCAUGUUUCUGCAAUGCUUCGUUGCCAUUCAGUGCAUUUUUUUGCCCUCCCUAUGCUUAUUCUCUGUCUCCUCUUCUGUUUCCCUUUCAGAAUCCUUAUCAAUCACAAGAGUUUUUUGAAAUAUAAAAAUGUGUGUAUAUAUUAUAUGUACAUAUAUAUUCACAACACAUGUACUUUUAUAUCUAUAUACCCAUAUAGAUGUAGAUAUUUAUAGACAGAUAUAAAUAGAUAUAUAGAUGUAUAUAACAUUAAAUGAGGAAAGAUAUACCCCUCAAAUGUUAAUGGUUGUUUUAUCUGAGUAGUAGAAUAAUUUGUGAUUUUCAUUUUUUCUUUGUGUUUUUGUGUCUUUCUCAAACUAGUAUUAUUGUCACCAGGAAACAGUUUUUUAAAUCUUUCACAUCCUUUCAAAUUCAUAUGCUACUACCUUUGUGAGUAAAAUCUUUCCUGAUCUCCACACUAAUGCUACUUUCUCUUUUGAAACAGACUCUCUUUCCCCAGCACUUUUUUUUGUAACAUUAGUUAUUUAUUUUGAGAGAGAGAGGGAGGGGGAGUUGCAGAGAGAGAGGAGAGAGAAAACCUCAGGCAGGCUCAAAACUGCCAGCGCAGAACUCAGUGCGGGGCUCAGACCCAUGAACUGUGAGCCCAUGACCUGAACUGAAAUCAAGAGUACGAUGCUUAACCGGCAAGAGCCACCCAGGCGCCACUCCCCAGCACUUUUAUUGUCUUGGGUCAUUUCCAGCAUUUUGCUUUGUAUUCUGUGUAACCACAGGUCCCCAGGUCCCACAAAUUGAUAGAGGAAAGGAGUCGGGGAGGCGCAGCUAAUGAUAAAAAAGGUAACGGAAUAGCUGUUGCUCCAUUAGGAAAGCUAGAAUCUUCCUGCUGUAUCCACUAUAUCCCAGACUUUUUGGUCUCAUCCCCUCCCUGUGGUCCUGGCCAUGUCUCUUCCACAUUGCUGUUCCUAUGACCUGAGUCAGCCAUGAUGCUCACUCUGUGUGUGAUGCUGUCCCCUCUCCUUCACUUGGUACCAAGCUAGGCCCCAUUAUUCCAUCAGCCUCACACCAUCUAGGCUGUACCUCUACCCGUCAUCACUUUGCUGAAGUGGGACCAUCUCCCACCCAGGUUGUACCUUUUAAAAGUUAUUCUCCUUCCCCUCAUUUUCUUAAUCUCUGAUAUAACCUAUUGCACGAUGACUCAUGUUUUCCGGCUCCUUAAUACAUCCCCUCCCCAGCCUCCUUGCCUAGAAGAACUUGCCCUGAGAUUAGGUUGGGAGCCAGAGAAAUCUGGCCCAAUCCUUCCCUCUCCUUAGGGGCCCCAGAUGGAAGGGUGCACAACCACUCUCUUGUCUGGGAGAUCGAGCUGUGAUUUUGUUCUGUAAUUUAUUCUGGUGUCUCUCUCCUGGGUGGCUUGUUUGCCUUCAUCUCACCAGUCAUUCCCUUUCCAGGAAGGCCUGUCUGCAGCAACCAGAACUGGAAGCCUGGUGGCCCGCUUGACAUGCCCUGUGCUUGGGUAGGCAAGCAGAAGCAACCCUGCUUGGGCUGUCAUCAGUCCACCGUGUCCUCUUCUAAGCCUCUCCAUUAACUUCUUGGACAGGAGCUGAGGACCAGUCAACUUUGUACACUCUGUGCACUCUGAAGCAGCUCUUAACAUAGGAUGAUUUGCCUGUUCUGGACAUUUCAUAAAAAUGGAAUCAUGUGACAUGGACUUUUGUAUCUGGUUUCCUUCACUUAGCAUAAUGUUUUCAAGGUUCAUACAUGUAGCAUGUAUAUGUGUUUCAUCAGUUUUUGAUGGCUAAAUAAUACUCUGCUGCAUGGAUAUUUCACAUUUUUGUUUAGCCAUUCAUCAAUUGAUGAACAUUUGGAUUGUUUCUGCUUUUUGGCUGUUAUGAAUAGUUUUAUUUAUUUAACAUAUACAUGUUUUUUUUCUCGAGACCUAAUGAUUUCAAUUUUGGGGGUAUAUAUGCCUUGGUGGAUCAUAUGGUAACUCUAUGUUUAACUUUUUAAGGAACUGCCAAAUUGUUUUCUAAAGUAGCUGCAUCAUUUUACAUUCCAGAAGCAAUGUAUGAGGGUUCCAGUUUCUCCACAUCUUUACAAACGUGUUAUUGUCCAUCUUUUUAUUAUAACUAUCCCAGUGGAUAUGAAGUGGUAUCUCAUUGUGGUUUUGAUUUGUAUUUCCCUGAUGGCUAAUAACGUUGAGUUUCUUUUCAUGUGUGCAUUGGCCAUUUGAUAUUUUGGUAGAACAGUAGAACAUCCUCCAGACUGAUACAAAGGGCCUAUGUAAUCUAUUGGCCAGUGAGAAACAGGGCAUGCGGUCUAUCCAGUAUGCUUUGGGGUGUGGCCCAAUAGCCCUUGCCUGAGGUGGCACUGGGGACAGUCCUUGUCAGCAGCUGUGGGUCGGAAUAUUUUAAAGGCAAAUGUAAUCUUUUUACUAUUUCCCAAAUACUUCCGGGACCUCUGUGUCCUGGUUUACAGUGGACCUAUUAUACUGCAUCACAUGGAGUCCACAUUUCCUCCAGCAGAAGGCCCCUGCCCAGGCUAGUGCACCUGCUCCGUGCUCGCCUGGCAGUGUGGGUGGGGAGUGAGUGGACGCGGGCCAUACUUGGACAGCUGCGUCAGGUUUAGUGUGUACACCCCAGUUAUCUUUCCAUAGGUCUGCUCCCCACAGGGCUCUAUUUCACAUAGCCCAGCUUCCUUUGUGCCUUUGCAGGACCCAUGUUGUCAACCCUUUUCAUGCUGCCCAGCUGUCAGUAGCCAAAUUGGUGAGCAUGGGUUCAUGCAUCAGCACAAUCCAUAAUGCCCUCAACUCUGCCCAGUGACUACUUUGUCUAGUUCCUACUUUAAAACAAAGUACAUUGGGUCUAGUUGGAUGGCAGAGGAAUGCCAAAUUGGCAGGUUUCCCUGGCAACUGCCAUCAGUAUACCCUGUGUCCUCUGAAGGCAAGCCUACCCUUUUCUUUACUUAGCGGAGGGGACACAUAAUGGCAGCAACUUCUGGAAGUUGGGCUGGAUUGACAUAAGUGACCAGCCCUAGUAAUGAGUGCAGUUCAUGAGACAGCAGGCUGGUAUUGAAGUGCUCCUCUGCAGUAAGUAAGUGUGCCAUUUCUGGAAGGUGCUUACCUGGGCACAGGCACUCUUAGGUUUGUGGAACAUGUCCUAAAUCCAUCCUCCUAUUGGCAGAGAGAUUCGUAUCACCACAGGCAGUUCAGCAGUCAGUCUUUCCCUGUGUGCAGUGCAAGAUAGACAGCUAAUAGUUGUUUCUCGAUGGGACUAUACCUUGUUUCUUUUCAAUUUCUUGAGGCUUGUUGUAUGGCCUAACAUGGUCUGUCCAUGUUAGAAUGCUCCAUGUGCACUUGAGAAGAAUGUGAAUUCUGUUGUCAUUGAGUGGAGUGUUCUACUUAUCUGAGUUUCUAGUUACUCACUUUUCACCUGAUAAAACACUGGUCAUCCUUUGAGUUCCAGGUCCAAAGGAUCUUGUCGGUCAGGCCUUCCUUAAUACAUCUCACCACUUAAAACAUACAGUUUCCUUGUUUGAACUUCCAUCACUCAUAACUGUGGUAUAUGGAUAGGCCAACACCAUAACGGUGUUAUAAAUUCCAUCAAAAGUCAGUCUUUCUGUACUCGGAUGUUACGGGUUUCUUUUGUGCAGGGACCAUGUCUUAACUCUAUCUCCAUAUCCCUGAAAACUUAACUUUUUUUUUCCAAGAAUUAAUUUUUUUUCUUCUAAAGAAACGGAGGCAAUAAAUCAUAAAAAUAUCCUUGAAAAAACAGUCUUUGAAAAUAACUUUUCAUCUCUUCCAGGGGAGGAAAAUCCAUCACCUGGUUAGCACCAGGUGGUAUCAGUAGUUGAUUGAUGUUUUUCUUUUUUUUUUCUUGAUUUUUUAAAAUUUACAUCCAAGUUAGUUAGCAUAUAGUGCAACAUUGAUUUCAGGAGUAGAUUCCUU